AAAAGGAAGACGCUAAGAGAAAAGAUAUCAAUCAGCUGAAGAAAUCGCUGCUCACCAUACCGUUCGAAACUGCAGAAAAGCUAAAGCUAAUCGUCGUCGAACAUUGCGCAUAUUAAGAAAUAUCAACAGCAACUCGGUCGUUAACAUAAUUGAACGGGAAAUCAAUUAGUCAAAUUACAUAUAUACUACUUGGGGAUUCUAAACUGAGAACUUUUCUGGAAGAUGGAAUAUUCAGCUGCUAAAAUUCUUGACAGCUUGUGAAGGACGGCCUGUGGUGCAAAUGUAUUGUUCUGUGAGCCAUAAUCGGGUAACUAGCGUCUCGACAAAUAUUUAUGACGGCAGCUCAUCGCUAUUGCAUCUCGAUGGCAACUGUCUGUUCCAAAAGAAGAUUAUUGUGAACCGGAUGUCGUUUUGUAUGCCCCA